rnacentral:rRNA from 1 species
AACGAACGCUGGCGGCAUGCCUAACACAUGCAAGUCGAACGGUAACAGCGGAGCUUGCUCCGGCUGACGAGUGGCGCACGGGUGAGUAACGCGUGGGAACCUGCCCUGGAGUGGGGAACAACCGCUGGAAACGGCGGCUAAUACCGCAUACGCCCCUUGGGGGAAAGCUUUAUGCGCUCUAGGAUGGGCCCGCGUCGGAUUAGCUUGUUGGUAGGGUAAUGGCCUACCAAGGCGAUGAUCCGUAGCUGGUCUGAGAGGAUGAUCAGCCACACUGGGACUGAGACACGGCCCAGACUCCUACGGGAGGCAGCAGUGGGGAAUAUUGGACAAUGGGGGCAACCCUGAUCCAGCAAUGCCGCGUGUGUGAAGAAGGCCCUCGGGUUGUAAAGCACUUUCACUCGUGAAGAUGAUGACGGUAGCGAGAGAAGAAGCCCCGGCUAACUCCGUG